UAAGCGAUGGCGACCGGCGCACGGGUGAGUAACACGUAUCCAACCUGCCGAUAACUCGGGGAUAGCCUUUCGAAAGAAAGAUUAAUACCCGAUGGUAUAAUAAAGCCGCAUGGUUUAAUUAUUAAAGAAUUUCGGUUAUCGAUGGGGAUGCGUUCCAUUAGGCAGUUGGUGAGGUAACGGCUCACCAAACCUUCGAUGGAUAGGGGUUCUGAGAGGAAGGUCCCCCACAUUGGAACUGAGACACGGUCCAA
rnacentral:rRNA from 1 species